rnacentral:rRNA from 1 species
CAGGUGGUGCAUGGUUGUCGUCAGCUCGUGUCGUGAGAUGUUGGGUUAAGUCCCGCAACGAGCGCAACCCUUGUCUUUAGUUGCCAUCAUUAAGUUGGGCACUCUAGAGAGACUGCCAGGGAUAACCUGGCGGAAGGUGGGGAUGACGUCAAAUCAUCAUGCCCCUUAUGCUUAGGGCUACACACGUGCUACAAUGGGUAGUACAGAGGGUUGCCAAGCCGUAAGGUGGAGCUAAUCCCUUAAAGCUACUCUCAGUUCGGAUUGUAGGCUGAAACUCGCCUACAUGAAGCUGGAGUUACUAGUAAUCGCAGAUCAGAAUGCUGCGGUGAAUGCGUUCCCGGGUCUUGUACACACCGCCCGUCACACCACGGGAGUUGGAGACGCCCGAAGCCGAUUAUCUAACCUUUUGGAAGAAGUCGUCGAAGGUGGAAU